rnacentral:rRNA from 1 species
AAAUUGAAGAGUUUGAUCAUGGCUCAGAUUGAACGCUGGCGGCAGGCCUAACACAUGCAAGUCGAACGGUAACAGGAAGCAGCUUGCUGCUUUGCUGACGAGUGGCGGACGGGUGAGUAAUGUCUGGGAAACUGCCUGAUGGAGGGGGAUAACUACUGGAAACGGUAGCUAAUACCGCAUAACGUCGCAAGACCAAAGAGGGGGACCUUCG